rnacentral:misc_RNA from 1 species
GAUGAAGAACGUAGCGAAAUGCGAUACGUAAUGUGAAUUGCAGAAUUCAGUGAAUCAUCGAAUCUUUGAACACAUAUUGCGCUCUUUGGUAUUCCGAAGAGCAUGCUUGUUUGAGUAUCAGUAAACACCUCAACCUCUUCUUGAUUUUUCAAAAGGAGGGUGGACUUGAGCUAUCCCAACAACCUUUACCGGUCGGCGGGCGGCUUGAAAUGCAGGUGCAGCUGGACUUUUAUCUGAGCUAAAAGCAUAUCUAUUUAGUCCUCGUCAAACAGGAUUAUUACUUUUGCUGCAGCUAACAUAAAGGAUAAUUGUCCUCUUUGCUGACUGAUGCAGGAUUUUACGACACUUUAUGUGUUGUUCAACUCGAUCUCAAAUCAAGUAAGACUACCCGCUGAACUUAAGCAUAUCAAUAAGCGGAGGA